CCUGGUUGAUCCUGCCAGUAGUCAUAUGCUUGUCUUAAAGAUUAAGCCAUGCAUGUCUAAGUAUAAGCUUUUAUACGGCUAAACUGCGAAUGGCUCAUUAAAACAGUUAUAGUUUAUUUGAUGGUCUUUACUACAUGGAUAACCGUGGUAAUUCUAUGGCUAAUACAUGCGCACAUGCCUCUUCCCCUGGAAGGGCAGUGUUUAUUAGAUACAGAACCAACCCACCUUCCGGUGGUCCUCAGGUGAUUCAUAGUAACCGAACGGAUCGCGUUGACUUCGGUCUGCGACGGAUCAUUCAAGUUUCUGACCUAUCAGCUUUCGACGGUACUGUAUUGGACUACCGUGGCAGUGACGGGUAACGGGGAAUUAGGGUUCGAUUCCGGAGAGGGAGCCUGAGAAACGGCUACCACAUCUAAGGAAGGCAGCAGGCGCGCAAAUUACCCAAUCCUGAUUCAGGGAGGUAGUGACAAGAAAUAACAACACUGGAAAUUUCAUUUCUAGUGAUUGGAAUGAUAGGAAUCCAAACCCCUUUCAGAGUAACAAUUGGAGGGCAAGUCUGGUGCCAGCAGCCGCGGUAAUUCCAGCUCCAAUAGCGUAUAUUAAAGUUGUUGCAGUUAAAAAGCUCGUAGUUGGAUUUCUGCUGGAAGCAGCCAGUCCGCCCUCAGGGGUGUGCACUUGGUGAAUUCUAGCAUCCUUCUGGAUUUCUCCACACUUCAUUGUGUGGAGUUUUUUCCAGGACUUUUACUUUGAGAAAAUUAGAGUGUUUCAAGCAGGCUUGUCGCCUUGAAUACUGCAGCAUGGAAUAAUAAGAUAGGAUUUAGGCCCUAUUUUGUUGGUUUCUAGGACUGAAGUAAUGAUUAAUAGGGACGGUUGGGGGCAUUCGUAUUUAACUGUCAGAGGUGAAAUUCUUAGAUUUGUUAAAGACGAACUACUGCGAAAGCAUUUGCCAAAGAUGUUUUCAUUAAUCAAGAACGAAAGUUAGGGGCUGAAGACGAUCAGAUACCGUCGUAGUCUUAACCAUAAACUAUGCCGACUAGAGAUAGGAAAACGUCAUGCUUGACUUCUCCUGCACCUUAUGAGAAAUCAAAG
rnacentral:rRNA from 1 species